CAGGAUUAAGUGUUCUUGUUAGCAUACCUAUUGCACUAGUGUUGCUAGAAGCGUUAUCCAUAAAAAUUGACAUUAUUUUAUCACUAAUGCAAAAAUAUCUGCAUAUAUCUGAAACAGUGUUAGCUAUAAACCUACCCGUGUAAUUUUAUAUACUUAACUAAACUACACGUGCCGCUACGAUCUCCAGUAUACCUAUGAACAAGUAAUUUCCCACAAGAUUUACACUUAGCCUUAUCUUGUUCUCUUAGUUGAAUAAAAAAUUGCCAAACUAGUGAUGUUUCUGUACGUUUAGGAGGUUGUCU
rnacentral:lncRNA from 1 species